rnacentral:rRNA from 1 species
AACGAACGCUGGCGGCAGGCUUAACACAUGCAAGUCGAACGCCCCGCAAGGGGAGUGGCAGACGGGUGAGUAACGCGUGGGAAUCUACCUAGUUCUACGGAACAACAGUUGGAAACGACUGCUAAUUCCGUAUACGCCCUACGGGGGAAAGAUUUAUCGGAAUUAGAUGAGCCCGCGUAAGAUUAGCUAGUUGGUGGGGUAAUGGCCUACCAAGGCGACGAUCUUUAGCUGGUCUGAGAGGAUGAUCAGCCACACUGGGACUGAGACACGGCCCAGACUCCUACGGGAGGCAGCAGUGGGGAAUAUUGGACAUUGGGCGCAAGCCUGAUCCAGCCAUGCCGCGUGAGUGAUGAAGGCCUUAGGGUUGUAAAGCUCUUUCACCGAUGAAGAUAAUGACGGUAGUCGGAGAAGAAGCCCCGGCUAACUUCGUGCCAGCCGCCGCGGUAAAAC